rnacentral:lncRNA from 1 species
UGUAGUCCCAGCUACUUGGGAGGCUGAGGCAGGAGAAUGGCGUGAACCCGGGAGGCGGAGCUUGCAGUGAGCCGAGAUCCCGCCACUGCACUCCAGCCUGGGCGACAGAGCGAGACUCCGUCUCAAAAAAAAAAAAAAAAAAAAAAAAAAAAGAAAUUCCAUACUCAUUAGUAGUCAUUCCCCAUUUCCCUCCAAUUCCCACUCCCUCAGCCCUUAGCAACCACUAAUCUAUUUUCUGUCUCUGUAGAUUUCCCUAUUCUGGAUGUUUCAUAUAAAUGGAAUCACAUAAUUUAUAUUGUUUUAUGAUUGGCUUCUCUCAUUUAGCAUAAUGGGGUUGGGGGGGGCUUUUUAAAUGCCAACACUUUGGGAGGCUGAGGCAGGAGGAUCACUUGAGCCCAGGAGUUUGAGACUAUCCUGAGAAACAAAGGGAAACCCCAUUCUUUACCCCUCCCUCCCCGACACACACACAUACACACACACACACACACAAAAUUAAUAGGGCAUGGAAGUACAUGCUUGUGGCCCCAGCUACUCGGGAGGCUGAGGCGGGGGAGGAUCGCUUGAGCCUGGGAAGUUGAAGCUGCAGUGAGCCGUGAUUGUGCCACCACACUCCAGCAGGCAGCAGAGCAAGACUGUCUUAAAAAAAAAAUUCAUAUUUUCUAUGGCUGAAUAAUAUCUAUUUCAUUUUAUAGGUACACCACAUUUUUUAUCCAUUUAUUAGUUGAUGUACAUUAGGAUUGUUUCUACUUUUGGGCCAUUAUCAAUAAUGCUGAUGUGAACAUUUGUGUAUAAUUUUUUUGUUUUUGUUUUGAGACACAGUCUCACUCUGUUGCCCAGGCUGGAGUGCAGUGGGGUGAUCUCAGCUCACUUCGACCUCUGCCUCCUGGGUUCAAGCGAUUCUCCUG